GACGAACGCUGGCGGCGUGCUUAACACAUGCAAGUCGAACGGAAAGGCCCUGCUUUUGUGGGGUGCUCGAGUGGCGAACGGGUGAGUAACACGUAAGUAACCUGCCCUUGACUUUGGGAUAACUUCAGGAAACUGGGGCUAAUACCGGAUAGGAGCUCCUGCUGCAUGGUGGGGGUUGGAAAGUUUCGGCGGUUGGGGAUGGACUCGCGGCUUAUCAGCUUGUUGGUGGGGUAGUGGCUUACCAAGGCUUUGACGGGUAGCCGGCCUGAGAGGGUGACCGGCCACAUUGGGACUGAGAUACGGCCCAGACGCCUACGGGAGGCAGCAGUGGGGAAUAUUGCACAAUGGGCGGAAGCCUGAUGCAGCAACGCCGCGUGCGGGAGGACGGCCUUCGGGUUGUAAACCGCUUUCGCCUGUGACGAAGCGUGAGUGACGGUAAUGGGUAAAGAAGCACCGGCUAACUACGU
rnacentral:rRNA from 1 species